GCGCCUGUAGCUCAGCUGGAUAGAGCAACGGACUUCAACAAAAAUAGGAGCCUUUGUCGGGAAACAGGAACCGGCAAAGUGGACAGCACUGUAUCGGUGAAACCUUAACAGGAUUAUCUCUCCCCGCGGGGGAUGAUUGAUGAUGGCAAUACCGAGGAAACUUACAAUACACAGACUUUUCUGUGGUAAGGAUCCGUAGAGGCCAUAUGUGCUGCACCUGAGAUGGUGAAGAUAUGGUCCAGACCACAAACAACCCUUCCGGGUUGGCAGGGAAAUCUGUAGUGGUAAGCUAAUCCGUAGGUCGCAGGUUCGAAUCCUGCCAGGCGUACCA
rnacentral:tRNA from 1 species